UGGCCCCUCUUCCUGCUCCUGAACAUACUCAUUCCCUGAGGUUUUGCUGUCUUUUCUUCUCUUGACAUCAAAUCGAAUUGUCAUGUGGUUAGAACUGUGUUUUAGAUUCAAUUUAUGUGAAGUUUACAAAGCAUGCAAAAAUUCAUGGAGCUCCAAAGCAGAAUCUGAAUGAUUUAAACCUUGACAUGUAAAGAAGAACUUGAACAGAUAAGGAUACUGAAGCACAGAGAGGUGGAGCAGCCUGCCCAGG